CUCCCUCUCCCCUCUCCUCCCUCCACCCCUCCCCCGACACUCUCGGUCUCUCUGUCUAAAAUAAACCGAGGUGGUCCCUGGUCUGGGCGUCCUAGGACGUGUCUGAACACCCCGCGGAGGAAGAAGACAGCACCAGCCACUGCUGGCACGGGGCUGCAGCCCCUGGCUACACACACCUCCGAAAGACAGCGGCGACUUCGGACACCUCUCUCCCGCCCCAGCCUGACUCCCCAGGGGCGGUGUGAAACCACAAGUGAUAAUAUCUCCCAUCGCCAGCUUUGAACUUCAGAUAGAAGGAGACCUUAUGGCAGUUGGACUAUCUGAGAGACCUGGUGCCCUGUGCCGCCUCCUGCAUAAUGCAUGCGCGCGUGGUAGGAACAGAACCCCGUCCGUGCAACCGCGAGAAGCAGCGGGAGGCUUCUGGGCGGUGCAGCGGCCGCGGCGGAUUGGAUCAAGCAAAGCGCGGAAUCCGUGAACUGGCCGCGGCCCCGAGGGCGCAGCUCCUGGACCGAGCGGCGCUAUCCUGCCCCAUGGACGCCUCCUCUAGCCCGUGGAAUCCAACCCCGGCUCCUGUCAGCAGCCCCUCCCUGCUGCUCCCCAUCCCCGCCGUCGUCAUCAUUGCUGUGGGCAUCUAUUUGUUGCUGCUGGGCCUGGUGCUGCUGACUAGGCACUGCCUACUCAGCGCUGCUGCACAGACUGCAGCCCCCCCUGCAGGAAGCAAGGCGCCUCUAGACCCCAAGACUGUUGCUGGACCUGUGCAGAAGCCUGCAACUUCCCUCUGCCUAGCCCAGCCCACUACCUGGAUGCCUGCUGCCCGCAGCCCACUGAAGCUGUGAGUUCUCGUGCUGGCCCCUGGCCCCUGAGCCCUGAUUGAGGUACUAUCCGUGCAUUCAUUUUUGGUUCAACAAAAUUUAUUACUGAGCACCUAUUCUAGGCCAGGCACAGUUCCAGGUACUGGCUCAGGUGGAGACAGCCAAAAACAACGUAAAAAACAGCUCAGAUACUUUUCUGGCAAUGAAAGCUACUUGUAGAAAAGAAAGUAGGGAAGCAGCUGGAGAAAGGUAAUGGGUAACGUGUAGGGCACAUGAGCACUUCUGAAAGUGGUAGUUAAAAGAAAAAACAGAGCCCCUCCAGAGCUCCUCCUGUUCACCAAGUGAAUACGGUAUUCUGGAUACUGUGCUACUGACAGGGUCAGAUAAUGACCUUGAGAACUGGGCAUUUUAAAAAACUGUGUGUGCUUGUGUGUGUGUGUACAUAUACACAUAUAUGCAUAUACACAUAUAUGUGUG
rnacentral:lncRNA from 1 species